GUCGAGAAUCUUUCACAAUGGGGGCAACCCUGAUGGAGCGACGCCGCGUGGAGGAUAAGGUCUUCGGAUUGUAAACUCCUGUCAUGCGUGAACAAGGUUGCUUGGUUAAUACCUGGGCAAAUUGAUGGUAACGCAAGAGGAAGAGACGGCUAACUCUGUGCCAGCAGCCGCGGUAAUACAGAGGUCUCAAGCGUUGUUCGGAAUCACUGGGCGUAAAGGGUGCGUAGGUGGCGUGGUAAGUCAGAUGUGAAAGCCCGGGGCUCAACCUCGGAACUGCAUCCGAUAUUGCCAUGCUAGAGGACUGGAGAGGUGACUAGAAUUCUCGGUGUAGCAGUGAAAUGCGUAGAUAUCGAGAGGAAUACCAAAGGCGUAGGCAGGUCACUGGACAGUUACUGACACUGAGGCACGAAGGCCAGGGGAGCGAACGGGAUUAGAUACCCUUGUAGUCC
rnacentral:rRNA from 1 species